AAGGAGUCUAACACGUAUGCAAGUAGUAAGGUGGCAAACCUUGGAUGCGGAAUGAAAGUGAACGUAGGUGGGAGCUUCGGCGCACCAUCGACCGAUCCUGAUGUCCUCGGAUGGAUUUGAGUAAGAGCAUAGCUGUUGGGACCCGAAAGAUGGUGAACUAUGCCUGAAUAGGGUGAAGCCAGAGGAAACUCUGGUGGAGGCUCGCAGCGGUUCUGACGUGCAAAUCGAUCGUCAAAUUUGGGUAUAGGGGCGAAAGACUAAUCGAACCAUCUAGUAGCUGGUUCCUGC
rnacentral:misc_RNA from 1 species